CGUAAACCCCUGUCAUUUGCGAACAAACCUCGCGCGCUAACAAAGCGCGAGCUGAUUGUAGCGAAAGAGGAAGGGACGGCUAACUCUGUGC
rnacentral:rRNA from 1 species